rnacentral:rRNA from 1 species
UACGUAGGGGGCUAGCGUUGUCCGGAAUCAUUGGGCGUAAAGCGCGCGUAGGCGGUUUGAUAAGCCGGGUGUGAAACCUCCAAGCUCAACUUGGAGCGGCCACUCGGAACUGUCAUGACUUGAGUCAGGUAGGGGAACACGGAAUUCCAGGUGUAGCGGUGAAAUGCUUAGAUAUCUGGAGGAACACCAGUGGCGAAGGCGGUGUUCUGGGCCUGUACUGACGCUGAUGCGCGAAAGCGUGGGGAGCGAACAGG